rnacentral:rRNA from 1 species
AACGCGAAGAACCUUACCUGGGCUCGAAAUGCUGUGGACCAGCUUAUGAAAGUAGGCCUUCCCGCAAGGGACCGCAGUAUAGGUGCUGCAUGGCUGUCGUCAGCUCGUGUCGUGAGAUGUUGGGUUAAGUCCCGCAACGAGCGCAACCCUUGUCCUGUGUUGCCAUACCGAAAGGUGGAACUCGCAGGAGACCGCCAGGGAUAACCUGGAGGAAGGUGGGGAUGACGUCAAGUCCUCAUGGCCUUUAUGUCCAGGGCUACACACGUGCUACAAUGGACGGUACAAAGGGCUGCCAACCCGCGAGGGGGAGCCAAUCCCAAAAAACCGUUCUCAGUUCGGAUUGCAGGCUGCAACUCGCCUGCAUGAAGCUGGAAUCGCUAGUAAUGGCGGAUCAGAACGCCGCCGUGAAUACGUUCCCGGGCCUUGUACACACCGGCUAC